UACGUAGGGUGCAAGCGUUACUCGGAAUUACUGGGCGUAAAGCGUGCGCAGGCGGUCUUGCAAGACAGAUGCGAAAUCCCCGGGCUUAACCUGGGAACUGCAUUUGUGACUGCAAGGCUGGAGUGCGGCAGAGGGGGAUGGAAUUCCGCGUGUAGCAGUGAAAUGCGUAGAUAUGCGGAGGAACACCGAUGGCGAAGGCAAUCCCCUGGGCCUGCACUGACGCUCAUGCACGAAAGCGUGGGGAGCAAACAGG
rnacentral:rRNA from 1 species